CAAUCUCUCCCUUUCUCUCGUGUACGCUCUGUUCCACCCUCUUCUGCUUCUACCGUAGGCUCUGCUCGCCCCCUCUGCUGCUUUUCCGGUUUCGACGGUGUUCUGCAGCCCCUGAGCUAUGCGCUUUCCUCUCCUUUCUGUUAGUUUUCUGUUCAACUAGGGUUACCAGACAUGAACCCUAUCACCUGUCUUCCGUGAAAUCCGGCCACCAUCGUCCCACCACUUCGCGUAACUGCCCAUCGUUCUUCACCUAUUAUCCCUAAUCUAUUUACCGAGUAUGCAUCCGUCACUUCAUCAACAGCUGUUCCACUUCAUCUUGUACUUCCUUCCGCUGGAUUGGCUGUAAUCGUUGUAUGCAUGCUACUAUGCUAUGGAGCUCUAUUAUCUAUCUUCGCUUCCCCCUAUCUACAAACCAUGGUACUUUUGACAUCUAUUUACUUUUCAAAACAACUGUGUUUUCUGCUUUACAAGUUGUGAUCCUAUACCCUAUCUCCUCACCUAAUUCCUUUACAGCUUCUCUGAUUUGAUCUGGAGAAUUCUAAAUUCGUUGCUAUAAAUUGAACCAUGUUGAUGUUCAUAUUGUGUUUUUAGCCCAGUACCCCUGCUUCCAUUUUCUCUCAUUUCGACAUGGGUGGCCAUGUGAAUCCCUUCAAGAGUCUCUGCCCAGGAAAAAAAUUACUUGCAAAUGGACUGAUCCACGCUUCAUUAUCUUAAGUGAUCUCAGUGUUUGUUUAAUGUACAUUAAUUCUUCAAUUGACUUAUUCUUAGCGUUAGUACUGUAGUGAGUAUGUUUGUUGUUAAUUUUAGGGUCAAAAAAUCGAGGCAAGUGCUCGGAAGGCCAUGAUCUCCAAACUCAGGUUGGUGCUUUGUGAAGGCAAGGUGUACUUGCAUUGAUACUAAUUUCUGUACAAGGAGCAACAUGCGAAUGGGAGACUGUCAGGCCUCUGCCAUGGGAAAGACACAUGGAGAAUUUGGGUUCGGGUGUUGAGGAUGUGGGAGAUGUGCCCAAUAUCUGAGCCAGGCAAGCCAUUUGCAGUGCAGCUGGUGCUAAUUGAUGCUGAGUAGCUGAAGUAGGUUGGUUUCACCUAGCAGAAAAGGAUUAAAGUGGCCUAAAUACUGCAUUUUACUGAAGUUGGCGUAUGGUAGCUCUGUGUAUUAUGAUGGCAACAUAAUGAAAGCACCAGAAAUUUCCAUUGAUGAACACAUGGCCCUGAUGAAGCGCAUGGCUGAACUAGCAUACGGAGUACCUUAAAUUCAGGUCAUUAAAGAAUUCAUAGUUGAUAUGUGUUUCUGUGAAAAAAAAAAUAUGGAUGUAGGCGUUUAUGGUUCUUUUGACUGAAAAUAUUUUUACGUUAAUUUUAUUAGACUAAUUCCAGUUUUAGUGUAACACAUAAAUUUUUUUUUUGGUAAAAUUGAUGCCUAUAUAUAUAAUUGUUUGACAAAUGCUUUUUGCUUUAUCUAUAUCUGUCCAAUUACAAGUUAUAUUUACAACUCUUUUCUUUGUUCAAUUUAAGAGUAAACUUGACUAAAAUCUCAAUUUGUUUAUGCUUCAUAUAAAUCACAUCUGAGGCAGUAUGUAUCAUCAUGAUUCAUGUGAAGUUGAGAAGUGAGAACAAAAUUGCUUGAUAGAUAGUAAUAGUAUAUAUUAGCUCUGUACAUAACUUGAAGGGGCCUAAAACUUGAACUCUUGAAGCCACAGAAGACCAUCGUGUUUAUCUUUGAGCUGAUUUAUGCAUAUGUGUGAGUAUUACAUAGUACAAGGGUGUCUCUCAGAUAAGUUUAUUAGAAAACUUCAGUUCAUAGAAUUUAUAUGUUCACUGUGUUUUUUCUUUUUUCUGGGAAUGAGAAUUUUAUUUUUACGGUAUAAGGGUUUGAUAAGUGCUUUGAAUGUGCCAUUACCAGUAAUAUACAAAAAAAUGCACAAAUUCUGUAAUGUCAUUUCCUUUUGUUCAUUUGAAAUGGUAGCCAAUAGCUUAAUUCAUGCAGUUAUGGGAAAGAUUCAUGUUUUAUUUGUGGAGGGAAUUUAAUCAAGAAGCCUUAUUGGUAUGUCAUUUAUGCAGUAAUUUGAAGUUGUUGUUUCAUCACAAAACCUUUGGGUAGGAAGUGAUGUGUUUAAUUUUCUGCAUUGACAUUUCUUCACUUGGAGUGGAUGAGUAGACAGUUCUUAGUAUUUGGUGAGUUGUUGGAGUCAGGUUCAAAAACUACCAAGAGCUAAUAAUGCAUUUAAAGGAUUAAUGGUUAGUUGACUUAGUUUUGAUUUUGUAAAGGAAUAAUGACUUAAAGGAUGUGUACCAAAGGUUUAUUUCUAAUUGUGUAGAUAUUGUGACACCAAUGAAUUUAGCUUCUAUUAAGCAGAUAGAAAUCAGAUGAGCAUGUUAAAUUGAUAGGAAUAUUGUAGACAAUUAAAACAAGAUGACUAACAUUGUAACAUGGUUAUACCUUACUUCAUAAAUGGAAUGAGGUAGAGCAAGAGAUUCAUCAUAAAACUUACAAAACACCCACUGUAUAUAUGUUGGUAGUUAACAGUACGCUUUUUAGAUUGUUGAUUUUUCACACUAUAGGAACAGUUGGAGCCAAAUGCAGUGUUAGGGACAAUUCUUGAUUCUAAUGGAGGAGUUCACUCAGAAGUGGUACAAAAGCUGAUGAUAAGUGGACUGAGCGUAGAAUCGACGGCGUGAGAUACCAGUAGGACUAGAUGACAAUGUCAGGAAAUGGAAACAUCUCGCAGUGGAGAAUGAGGAGAAAGCUAGCAAUACUGCUAAGUAUCAACUUAAAUGUUGGCUUUCAUUUUGCUAAUUUUUUCAGGCUUGCUUGGUCAUUCAAACUUGCAAAUUAGAACUGAUUGGCUUUAAACUGAAGAGCUCAUGGGACUCGAAUUUAUAUUGUCUUUUGUACAAUUCGCAAUUUUUGUGCAUUAUGGUGUCUAUUGACUGUUUACUAACUUCAAUAGAGUUUGUUACGAUUA